CCUACGGGAGGCAGCAGUGAGGAAUAUUGGUCAAUGGACGAGAGUCUGAACCAGCCAAGUAGCGUGAAGGAUGACUGCCCUAUGGGUUGUAAACUUCUUUUAUAUGGGAAUAAAAUGUUCCACGUGUGGGAUUUUGUAUGUACCAUAUGAAUAAGGAUCGGCUAACUCCGUGCCAGCAGCCGCGGUAAUACGGAGGAUCCGAGCGUUAUCCGGAUUUAUUGGGUUUAAAGGGAGCGUAGGUGGAUUGUUAAGUCAGUUGUGAAAGUUUGCGGCUCAACGGGAAAAUUGCAGUUGAAACUGGCAGUCUUGAGUACAGUAGAGGUGGGCGGAAUUCGUGGUGUAGCGGUGAAAUGCUUAGAUAUCACGAAGAACUCCGAUUGCGAAGGCAGUUCACUGGACUGCAACUGACACUGAGGCUCGAAAGUGUGGGUAUCAAACAGGAUUAGAUACCCCUGUAGUC
rnacentral:rRNA from 1 species